rnacentral:tRNA from 1 species
GGUGAGGUAGCUCAGUGGUGGAGCACCUGUCUAGCUUGUGCCAGGCCCUGGGUUCAAUCCCCAGCCUAAUAA